rnacentral:sRNA from 16 species
CCGGUAGAAUUCGCGCCGUCAUCAGGGAGUAGCCGCCUGCGAGCCUUCGCAGGGACCACGUCAACAGACUUGCGCGUCGCGCAUGGCGUGGCCAGCCUUCGGGCCUGGCGAGACUUUUGGCUGCAUGCCCUCCGAUUUUUCGGGCCCGGGAGGCGUGCGGUCAUCGGUCAUCAGCCGGCCCGGAGAACCUG